rnacentral:rRNA from 1 species
AGUGAACGCUGGCGGUAGGCCUAACACAUGCAAGUCGAACGGCAGCACAGUAAGAGCUUGCUCUUACGGGUGGCGAGUGGCGGACGGGUGAGGAAUGCAUCGGAAUCUACUUUUUCGUGGGGGAUAACGUAGGGAAACUUACGCUAAUACCGCAUACGACCUACGGGUGAAAGCAGGGGAUCUUCGGACCUUGCGCGAUUGAAUGAGCCGAUGUCGGAUUAGCUAGUUGGCGGGGUAAAGGCCCACCAAGGCGACGAUCCGUAGCUGGUCUGAGAGGAUGAUCAGCCACACUGGAACUGAGACCCGGUCCAGACUCCUCCGGGGGGCAGCAGUGGGGAAUAUUGGAAAAUGGGCGCAAGCCUGAUCCAGCCAUACCGCGUGGGUAAAGAAGGCCUUCGGGUUUUAAAGCCCUUUUGUUGGGAAAGAAAAGCAGCAGGUUAAUACCCCGCUGUUCUGACGGUACCCAAAGAAUAAGCCCCGGCUAACUUCGU